rnacentral:rRNA from 1 species
GACGAACGCUGGCGGCGUGCUUAACACAUGCAAGUCGAACGGUGAAGCUCCAGCUUGCUGGAGUGGAUCAGUGGCGAACGGGUGAGUAACACGUGAGCAACCUGCCCCUGACUCUGGAAUAAGCGCUGGAAACGGCGUCUAAUACUGGAUACGAGAAGGGUCCGCAUGGGCACUUUCUGGAAAGUUUUUCGGUUGGGGAUGGGCUCGCGGCCUAUCAGCUUGUUGGUGAGGUAAUGGCUCACCAAGGCGACGACGGGUAGCCGGCCUGAGAGGGCGACCGGCCACACUGGGACUGAGACACGGCCCAGACUCCUACGGGAGGCAGCAGUGGGGAAUAUUGCACAAUGGGCGAAAGCCUGAUGCAGCGACGCCGCGUGAGGGAUGACGGCCUUCGGGUUGUAAACCUCUUUCAGCUCCGACGAAGCGCAAGUGACGGUAGGAGCAGAAGAAGCACCGGCCAACUACGUG